GACGAACCGUGCGACCGUUAUUCGGAAUCACUGGGCUUAAAGGGCGCGUAGGCGGGUCAUCAAGUCCGGGGUGAAAGCCCACGGCCCAACCGUGGAAGUGCCUUGGAUACUGAAGACCUCGAGGGGGAUAGGGGCGUGCGGAACUCAGGGUGGAGCGGUGAAAUGCGUAGAUAUCCUGAGGAACACCGGUGGCGAAAGCGGCGCGCUGGAUCCCUUCUGACGCUGAGGCGCGAAGGCCAGGGGAGCAAACGGG
rnacentral:rRNA from 1 species